GACGUAGGGCGCGAGCGUUGUCCGGAUUUAUUGGGCGUAAAGAGCUCGUAGGCGGCUCGUUGCGUCGGCUGUGAAAACCCGCAGCUCAACUGUGGGCUUGCAGCCGAUACGGGCGGGCUGGGAUUCGGUAGGGGAGACUGGAAUUCCUGGUGUAGCGGUGAAAUGCGCAGAUAUCAGGAGGAACACCGAUGGCGAAGGCAGGUCUCUGGGCAUUAACUGACGCUGAGGAGCGAAAGCAUGGGGAGCGAACAGG
rnacentral:rRNA from 1 species